rnacentral:rRNA from 1 species
UACUAGGUGUGGGUUUCCUUCCUUGGGAUCCGUGCCGUAGCUAACGCAUUAAGUACCCCGCCUGGGGAGUACGGCCGCAAGGCUAAAACUCAAANAAAUUGACGGGGGCCCGCACAAGCGGCGGAGCAUGUNGAUUAAUUCGAUGCAACGCGAAGAACCUUACCUGGGUUUGACAUGCACAGGACGCCAGUAGAGAUAUUGGUUCCCUUGUGGCCUGUGUGCAGGUGGUGCAUGGCUGUCGUCAGCUCGUGUCGUGAGAUGUUGGGUUAAGUCCCGCAACGAGCGCAACCCUUGUCUCAUGUUGCCAGCACGUAAUGGUGGGGACUCGUGAGAGACUGCCGGGGUCAACUCGNAGGAAGGUGGGGAUGACGUCAAGUCAUCAUGCCCCUUAUGUCCAGGGCUUCACACAUGCUACAAUGGCCGGUACAAAGGGCUGCGAUGCCGUGAGGUGGAGCGAAUCCUUUCAAANCCGGUCUCAGUUCGGAUCGGGGUCUGCAACUCGACCCCGUGAAGUCGGAGUCGCUAGUAAUCGCAGAUCAGCAACGCUNCGGUGAAUACGUUCCCGGGCCUUGUACACACCGCCCGUCACGUCAUGAAAGU